rnacentral:misc_RNA from 1 species
GAAGAACGUAGCGAAAUGCGAUAAGUAGUGUGAAUUGCAGAAUUCAGUGAAUCAUCGAAUCUUUGAACGCACAUUGCGCCCCAUGGUAUUCCGUGGGGCAUGCCUGUUCGAGCGUCAUUUACCCCCUCAAGCUCCGCUUGGUGUUGGGCGUCUGUCCCGCUUCGCGCGCGGACUCGCCCCAAAGGUAUUGGCAGCGGUCGUGCCAGCUUCUCGCGCAGCACAUUGCGCUUCUCGAGGCACCGGUGGGCCCGCGUCCAUCAAGCUCACCCCCCCAGUUUGACCUCGGAUCAGGUAGGGAUACCCGCUGAACUUAAGCAUAUCAAUAAGCGGAUGA